UGGGGAAUAUUGGACAAUGGGGGAAACCCUGAUCCAGCAAUGCCGCGUGAGUGAAGAAGGCCUUAGGGUUGUAAAGCUCUUUCGCCCGCGAAGAUAAUGACGGUAGCGGGAGAAGAAGCCCCGGCUAACUCCGUGCCAGCAGCCGCGGUAAUACGGAGGGGGCUAGCGUUGUUCGGAAUUACUGGGCGUAAAGCGUACGUAGGCGGAUGCGCAAGUUGGGGGUGAAAUCCCGGGGCUUAACCUCGGAAUUGCCCUCAAAACUGCACGUCUUGAGACCGAGAGAGGUAAGGGGAAUUCCUAGUGUAGAGGUGAAAUUCGUAGAUAUUAGGAAGAACACCAGUGGCGAAGGCGCCUUACUGGCUUGGUACUGACGCUGAGGUACGAAAGCGUGGGGAGCAAACA
rnacentral:rRNA from 1 species